rnacentral:rRNA from 1 species
CGGACGACGCUGGCGGCGUGGAUUAGGCAUGCAAGUCGAACGGUAUCAUCCUUUCGGGGGUGAGAGAGUGGCGAACUGGUGAGUAACACGUAGGUUAUCUACCCUCAAGACGGGACAACCCAGGGAAACUUGGGCUAAUACCGGAUGUGAGCAACUUUUAGUUGUUUGAAAGGUGGCGUAAGCUGUCGCUUGGGGAUGAGCCUGCGUCCUAUUAGUUAGUUGGUGAGGUAACGGCUCACCUAGGCAAUGAUAGGUAGGCGGCCUUAACGGGUGGUCGCCCACACUGGGAUUGAGAUACGGCCCAGACUCCUACGGGAGGCAGCAGUCGAGAAUAGUCUACAAUGGUCGGAAGACUGAUAGUGCGACGCCGCGUGAACGAUGAAUCCCUUCGGGGUGUAAAGUUCUUUUAUAUGUGAGCAGUGCUUCUUAUAUUAACAGUAUGGGGAGAGAGAUAUUAGCAUAUGAAUAAGCAACGGCUAACUCCGUG